rnacentral:piRNA from 1 species
UCCAGAUUGAGAAAGGGUCAUGAUAUGGGC